UACGUAGGGCGCAAGCGUUGUCCGGAAUUAUUGGGCGUAAAGAGCUCGUAGGCGGCCUGUUGCGUCCGCUGUGAAAUCCCGGGGCUCAACCCCGGGCCUGCAGUGGAUACGGGCUGGCUAGAGGCAGGCAGGGGAGAACGGAAUUCCUGGUGGAGCGGUGAAAUGCGCAGAUAUCAGGAGGAACACCGGUGGCGAAGGCGGGUCUCUGGGCCGAUACUGACGCUGAGGAGCGAAAGCGUGGGGAGCGAACAGG
rnacentral:rRNA from 1 species